AGCCACACUGGGACUGAGACACGGCCCAGACUCCUACGGGAGGCAGCAGUGGGGAAUAUUGGACAAUGGGCGAAAGCCUGAUCCAGCCAUGCCGCGUGUGUGAAGAAGGUCUUCGGAUUGUAAAGCACUUUAAGUUGGGAGGAAGGGUAGUAACUUAAUACGUUGCUACUUUGACGUUACCGACAGAAUAAGCACCGGCUAACUUCGUGCCAGCAGCCGCGGUAAUACGAAGGGUGCAAGCGUUAAUCGGAAUUACUGGGCGUAAAGCGUGCGCAGGCGGUUGUGUAAG
rnacentral:rRNA from 1 species